GAGAGGACAACAAGAUACCAAUUGAACUGCUAAUUCAUAUUUCUGGGGUUAAAGUCCCCAGCCCCCUC
rnacentral:tRNA from 1 species